CGGGUUCUAUGUGACGCCGGCCUAAGUUUUGCGUGUAAUCUUGUCGCUGCGAUAAUUGCUGCCAAACUUGAUGCACAUUGUUCCAUCAGGAGACUUUGUUGGCCAUCGAAUUUUUUGAAUGUCUGGAUUUUCGUCGAACCAUAUCGCUUGCACCAAUCUUGAUGUAUGGACGGCACUAUUAUUUUGCACUACUUUUAUAACUGGAUAUUGUUCUUCCGGAAAAAUUAUUCUAAUGCCAGAUUUAACGAUCCACUUGAAGUCAUACUUCCCCAGAAUCCUAAUGUGAUUCUGCCGCUUUUUCCUGAUGGGAUAACAUAUUUGGGAUUUAAAAGCGAUCCAUUUGGUCGCCAGACUCUACGUCGCCUAUCUUCUAAAGAUGAAAAUACUUUUUCGUCCAUUCAAAUGACGGCAUUCCAUUCCUCUUGAGGAUGUGAGUGUACACCUGCAGCACGUAGACGGCGUCUUACGGUUUCUGUAGAAAUAUUUAAUUCCCUGUUCCUUAAUACGUUUGCGACUGGAUCGAAAGGAUUUUCGUCUACAGCUCUUACUAUUUCCUCAUUCUGCUCCGGUGUAGUCUUCUGCGGAGCACAAUUAUUUUUUCUAUGAUCUUCAAGAUUCUCCAUUCCUCCUUCAUGUUUUAUAACCCAUAAAGCAACAGUUUGGGCGAUAUUCAUAGUCCGUUCUUAUA